rnacentral:lncRNA from 1 species
ACAGCUGAGCAUCAGAUGGACGGAGGAGAGCCGCAGGCUGGAUGUUCACAAAACUUCCCCAAGUUGCCAGUGUGGAUUAUAGAGCAUGUUUGGGCUCACAGGAUGAUGGAAAUACAAGAAGUGAUUGCCCCCUCCAGCUGGCCUGAUGUGGACUCCCAGCCUCUGAGCCUUGAGGACUCGUGGAGGCUGCGUGUGGCCUCAGCUCAGGUUUACUCCACUGUGAAAAGCAGGAACGUGGAGCUCUUUGAGAGAGCCGCGAGCUUUCUGGAGACCACUCACAGGCUCCUGCCCAGACUGGUGUCUGCCAUAAAACACAUGAAGAUCAUCUUCGGCCUGAAAACCAUGGUCAUUAUGUGGAUGCUUAAAGAGUGCAGAGGAAUGAUUGACAUAAUGUCCAAAAUCAACCAGUUUUUCCCAAGCAAACUCCCUCAGUACCAAGAUCAGUGUAGCCAACAUGAAAUGUUCCUCAUGAGGAAGAACAAUCUGGACUUUAAGAAUCUGGCACAGUCACUCACUUUGGACAAGCAGAGGCGGGACGAGUACGUUCAGAACCAGAUGGAGGAGCAGUACGGUGAACGCUACGCUCAGAAAGUGGAGGACAGGCUGCUGCACUACCUCCAUCAGCUGGAGGCUACGUUACCAGGAGAAACCUACAUUGAUAAGAUACUGAGGAAACAAAGUCCUGAGACUGAAGAGGAGAAGCUGCUGUUGGAGGUGGUGACCUCUGACUCCAUCACCAUCGCAGCGACUCUGAAGAGGCUGCUGCACUGCGAUGUUUCUUCCUGUCGUCCAGCUGAGUCUGCACCUCCACAGAGAGGAGAGGAACUCUCUCAGCGCUCACAGCCGGUUCUGAGUGGCAGCUGUCAGACAGAGGAGGCGGUGAGGAAGGUGGAGGUAGUGAGCGGUCAAAGUGCGGAGGACGCUGCCUCCUCCCCUCAGUUCUGCUCCAAACACCAGCGAUGGGUGGAGUGCAUCCUGCGGGAGUGUCCUGACGAGAGCUCAGACGAGCUGCUGUUCAAGGCCAACGUUUCUUCAUCCCCUCCUCUGUUCCAGUCCUCCUCAUCCUCCUCUUCAUCACAGGACCUCACCCCGUCUGACCUCAUCCCCCUUCCACCUGAUCAGUCACCUCCACAGACCUGCACCCAUCCUCAGACAGCAGCCCAGGCACCUGAAGAUAAGCGGAGCUCACCUGAAGCUCCACCCUUAUCCACCAGGAACGCCCCGCUGCCUGCUCUGCUGUCGCCGGUGGUCCGGCUGGUAGACGUCGCCUCCUGCAGGAGCUACGCCACCUUUAAACCACCAAAUCCAAAUCCACCCUGUCACACCUCCACUGAUCACUGUGCGUCCUCCUCCAUCUACCUCCACCCAAAACCAAACACUUCCUCCAAACCUUCACUGAAGAGCAGACAUGCUGCGUCCCCACAGGCCUCUACAAGGAACCCUGCAGCAGAGCAGGCCGACCCUGCACCGAGUCUGUCCUCACAGCGCACACCACAAACACACAACAGCGGCCCGUCUCUCUCAGAAACCCUGCUACGCUCCUCAGCGCCCCCUUCUGUCAGGAAGGCGCCCCGCAGAGCUGCGCUGAGGUUAUCGCUGCCGAGUACGUCCGUGCUGCUGCAGUCCAAACUGCUGCAGCCGUGUGUGAGCCUCACCAGGCUGAGCGCCGAGGAGUGUCGCCGGGUGACCGAGGAGAGCACCACCGCCAGGCAGUCUGCGGAGCAGGAAGACACAGACUCUUCCUUCGACAUAAACACUCUGUACUCCAGCGGGUCUUCAAGCAGCAGCAACGAGGACUUUCAGAUCGACCCCGACUACAAUCCUGGCUUCAAGAAGAAAAGGCUGCUCUUAGAGUACGAGAACGCACGGAUGCUGUGAGGGUGACAGGAAGUCACUGAACACACACGUUUCUGUAAUAUUCAUACGGUUAGAAAUCAUUUUUACAGCUCCGCUAAUCUCACAGGUGCUAAACUUCAGAUUUUAAUAAGCUGUUGUUAAAACUCAUAACAGAGGAACUUUUAUAGAACUCGACGGUUUUUAUUAAACUGUGACUCAAAGUGUCACAUAAUUUAUAUUAUGAUUUAAAUGACGAGUCUUUGCCUGUAUUUGGAUCAAACAGGAGUUCAACAUGCAGCCGAGUGGAGUGUCGUUGAACGGAGCCACGUCGUCUUUCAGCUCGUUGUUUUAGUUUUUAACAGCCUGUUACUGUUUUUCUCGUUUCUUCCAUCCAGCUGCUGUCUACAGUAAAAAAGCUCUGAUUAAACCACAGCCUUUAGGACUCUUUGGCAGCCAGAAGAUCUAUUUUAAAGACUUCACACCGAGGAGAAAUCAUUGCUGUGCUGUAGCUUUUUGUGUCUCUGGUGUGUUUGUGUGUUUGCUGUUGUCUCAGUGACAGAAUAAAGAACAGAGUGUCCUGACA